ACGCACGCUGGCGGCGUGCCUAAUACAUGCAAGUAGAACGCUGAAGAGAGGAGCUUGCUCUUCUUGGAUGAGUUGCGAACGGGUGAGUAACGCGUAGGUAACCUGCCUUGUAGCGGGGGAUAACUAUUGGAAACGAUAGCUAAUACCGCAUAACAAUGGAUGACACAUGUCAUUUAUUUGAAAGGGGCAAUUGCUCCACUACAAGAUGGACCUGCGUUGUAUUAGCUAGUAGGUGAGGUAAUGGCUCACCUAGGCGACGAUACAUAGCCGACCUGAGAGGGUGAUCGGCCACACUGGGACUGAGACACGGCCCAGACUCCUACGGGAGGCAGCAGUAGGGAAUCUUCGGCAAUGGGGGCAACCCUGACCGAGCAACGCCGCGUGAGUGAAGAAGGUUUUCGGAUCGUAAAGCUCUGUUGUAAGUCAAGAACGGGUGUGAGAGUGGAAAGUUCACACUGUGACGGUAGCUUACCAGAAAGGGACGGCCAACUACGUG
rnacentral:rRNA from 1 species